rnacentral:rRNA from 1 species
AGAGUUUGAUCCUGGCUCAGAUUGAACGCUGGCGGAAUGCUUUACACUUGCAAGUCGAACGGCAGCACGGGAGCUUGCUCCUGGUGGCGAGUGGCGAACGGGUGAGUAAUAUAUCGGAACAUAUCCUAUCGUGGGGGAUAACUAGUCGAAAGACUAGCUAAUACCGCAUACGUCCUGAGGGAGAAAGCGGGGGCUCGCAAGACCUCGCGCGAUUGGAGUGGCCGAUAUCUGAUUAGCUAGAUGGUGAGGUAAAGGCUCACCAUGGCUUCGAUCAGUAGCUGGUCUGAGAGGAUGAUCAGCCACACUGGGACUGAGACACGGCCCAGACUCCUACGGGAGGCAGCAGUGGGGAAUUUUGGACAAUGGGCGAAAGCCUGAUCCAGCCAUUCCGCGUGAGUGAAGAAGGCCUUCGGGUUGUAAAGCUCUUUCGGCAGGAACGAAACGGCGGAUAUUAAUACUAUCCGUUACUGACGGUACCUGAAGAAGAAGCACCGGCUAACUACGUGCCAGCAGCCGCGGUAAUAC